AAUAACGAAAAGCCAGGGUAAGAAACAAGAAUUGUAUUUCCAUGGAAACGACGCCGCUUUCAUUCAUCAGCCAUUCAAAUGAUUUGAAUAAUCCAAUUCGGAUAGCGGAUUUAGAGGAUUUUGAAAAUGAAUACGAAGAUGAUUCAAUGAAGAAGCUCGACGAUAUAAUUACACAAGAAGAAGAAGAUAGUUUCGCGGGCGAUUUUUAUAGGUGCGGAACCGACUGGUCUUGUUUAAAUUCUUCUUCGACCAGUGCAAACAAGAGGUUAAAACAGUGUAAUUUAUUUGAAUCGUGGAAGCUUCCGCUUAAGACCAAUGUCGAGGCUUCUACUUCAAUUGUUCCUGAUAAAAAGACGAUUCAAGCUCAGAAGCCGCAGCAGCAGCGUGCUUGCCCAUUUUAUAAGAAACUUCCUGGAACACCCUUCACUGUUGAUGCAUUCCGCUAUGGACAAGUUAAAGGUUGCUCUGCCUAUUUCCUUAGUCAUUUCCAUGCUGAUCACUAUGGUGGUUUGAGCAAGGCGUGGUCCCAUGGACCUAUUUAUUGCACCCCCAUCACAGGAAGGUUGAUCAAAAUGUGUUUAUAUGUAAACCCCUUAUUAAUCCAUACUCUGGAUUUAGAUGUUGAGUAUGUCAUUGAAGGAAUUAAAGUAACAAUGCUCGAGGCUAAUCACUGCCCGGGCGCAGCUCUCAUUCACUUUAACCUCCCAAGUGGUCAAUGCUACCUUCACACAGGCGAUUUUAGGGCUUCUAAAUUGAUGCAAACAUACCCACUUCUUUUAAAUCAACGAGUCAAUGUGCUUUACCUUGACACAACGUACUGCAAUCCCAAAUACAGGUUUCCUUUGAAGGAAAAGGUAUUAGACUUCAUUGUGAAAGUUACAAAGAACAUGCUUAAGAAACAACCUAAGACGCUUAUCAUUGUUGGGGCAUAUAGCAUAGGAAAAGAAUCUGUAUACCUUGCUAUUUCCAAGGCAUUAACGGUGAAAAUUCAUGCUAAUUCUUCAAGGAGGCGCAUCCUGCAGUCUUUUGGUUGGCCAGAAAUAUCAGGUAAUCUGUGUACAAAUGGGAAUGAUACACCUCUGCAUGUUCUGCCGAUGUCGUCCCUAAAGUUUGAGAUAUUGGAGAAAUAUUUGAAGUCAUACAGUGAUCGAUAUACAUCAGUUUUGGCUUUUCGGCCAACAGGUUGGACUUUUUCUGAAUCUACCGGAAGCGAAUUGGAUUCAAUCAAACCCAUUUCUAAAGGCUUUGUCACUAUCUAUGGAGUUCCGUACAGCGAGCAUUCUAGCUUUACAGAAUUGAGGGAGUUUGUUCAGUUUUUGGGGCCUGAGAAAAUAAUUCCAACGGUCAAUGUGGGGAAUGCUGCUACUCGGAAUAAGAUGCAGUCCUGUUUUCAGGAAUGGUCAAAAAAGUGAUAAUAUAACUCUGGAGUUCUUUUCGAGGUCAAUUAAUGGAAAACAUGUUUCUCUAUCAUAUAAUUGAGCUUGACUUCUUGUACCAUUGAAGGUUCUACUCUGUUGUGCUAAAUCCGCUGGCUAUGUUGUGAUGGUAGAGCGAGCAGAUGGUUUUGGUCAGUGUUGGGCUGUUAAUGUCCACUGCAAAUUUGACGGUGUGUCCUUUCGGGGGGCCGUUCAGGCGUAACUCCAACAAAAGAGGAACACUCAUUCUGUGAAAAUAUUAUGGAUAUUGUCGGGAGGGGAAAGAAAUGACAAUCUUGCCUUAUGUCCAAUACUGAGUAGCUUCAAGUUAUUAAUGCAUUCUUGUACUGAGGACUCUUUUAAGUUUCAUGCAGACAUUGACCAAGUGAAAAUUAUGAAGAAUGUGGUUUUUCUGUAAUUCUGCAUAUCAUUGUGCAUUAUUGUUAUUUCAUAGAAAGGGAUUCCUGCAGUUGAACAUUUAUGUAAUAGAAUGUUGCUCAAAAUCUUAACUGGCUACUAUGAUAUUGUCAAACCAUACAUCGUGUUUGCUCUUU